GAUGAAGAACGCAGCGAAUUGCGAUAAGUAAUGUGAAUUGCAGAAUUCAGUGAAUCAUCGAAUCUUUGAACGCACCUUGCGCCCUUUGGCUAUUCCGAAGGGCAUGCCUGUUUGAGUAUCGUGAACACCUCAACUCUCAUGGUUUGCCAUGAUGAGCUUGGACUUUGGGGGUUUUGCUGGCCUUUGGUCGGCUCCUCUCAAACGGAUCAGCUUUCCAGUGUUUGGUGGCGUCACGGGUGUGAUAACUAUCUACGCCUGUGGUUUUCUGCCAGAUAACCUUCAGCGAUGGAGGUUCGCUGGGGCUCAUAAAUGUCUCUCUUCAGUGGAGACAGCUUUUUGGACGUUUGAUCUCAAAUCAGGUAGGACUACCCGCUGAACUUAAGCAUAUCAAUAAGCGGAGGA
rnacentral:misc_RNA from 1 species